UUUCCUACGGGACGCAGCAGUGGGGAAUAUUGCACAAUGGGGGGAACCCUGAUGCAGCGACGCCGCGUGGGUGAAGGAGUACUUCGGUACGUAAAGCCCUAUCAGCAGGAAAGAAAAUGACGGUACCUGAGUAAGAAGCACCGGCUAAAUACGUGCCAGCAGCCGCGGUAAUACGUAUGGUGCAAGCGUUAUCCGGAUUUACUGGGUGUAAAGGGAGCGUAGGCGGCGCGUUAAGUCUGAUGUGAAAACCCGAGGCUCAACCACGGGAGUGCAUUGGAAACUGGCGGGCUGGAGUGCCGGAGAGG
rnacentral:rRNA from 1 species